rnacentral:rRNA from 1 species
CUAAACAGUAAUACCCUUAAAAGACACCAGUGGUCCUGCCUGAUCUUGGAAGCUAAGCCAGGCCAGCCCUGGUUAGCACUUGGAUGGGAGACCACAAAUGAGCCUCAGGGGCUUUAUGGA